AGUUUGAAAGUAGUUGAUGAUAGUGGUAAGGUUUGAUCAGCCAAAAAAUGAGGUGGAAGAAUUGAUUGGAAAAAAAUUGGAUAAAAUGACAACAAUCUUUUGUUUUGAAAAAUUUGAAUAAGAAUAUUCACAAAUUUUGAAAAUUUAGCUAAUUAUGCCAAGAUUUAAACGUUUAGAUUAGAUUGUCAAUACACGAAAAGAUUUGGAUUACUUUUACAAUUAUGCUCUUUUUUUU
rnacentral:misc_RNA from 1 species